AUGGUAUGUAUAUAUGUAAUCAAUGCCAGCUUGAAGUUACAACUAUUCAGGUUUUUUUAUGUAUUUUUUUUAAUUGCAGCGACCAAAAAGAAGACUGAGGUUGCUGGCACUGGGGGAGGGCCACCACCAGCCAGCUUCACUCCUGCAGAGGAGCUGGCUUUGGAAAUUAAUAAGGGGAGGCCCGUCCUUGAGGGAAUAGAGGGGGGGACAUCAUCUAAAAUGAUAUCACGUAGUAUAAGGAGUGAGUAUAUAAAAGAUUCUGUAUGCUUUAUGGAUCCACCAGACAUCAUGUUGCCUGGAGAAGGCCCAUCAGUUGAGGAGGAUAAGGAGACUGUGUCUGUAUGUUCAAGGAGGCCUGAGGAUGCUGACACUGCUCUAGAGCCCUCUCAGUCUGGGACCACAUGUGACAAAAAACCCAGAAAACAUAAAAGGAGUGUAUAAACGCUACCUCCUUAAACAAAUGGAAGCGAUUGAUAUCGACAUCCAGUAUAAAAAAAACUGAAGAUGAGGAAGUUGGAGCUGGAAAUUCAACAGCUACAGAAAAAUGCAAGUAAAAAAAAAAAAAAAAAAAAAAAAAAAAAAAAAAAAAACACAUUACCUUUUUGAUGGUGUCUCGUAUAAGUCUGCCUGUUUCGUUUUCUUCCAAUACUGCUUCAUUGCCCCAGUCUUCCUCUUCAACAAUCCUUGGUUGCCUCUCUCUCCUCAGACAAGCAAUGUUAUGCAGCACUACACAAGCAACUACAAUGUCACAUGCCCUAGGUGGAGUCACUCUGAGGUGCUUCAGGCACUGAAACCUUGACUUUAUCAGCCCAAAUGCCAUCUCUAUACGACCACUUGUGCGUGCAUGGGCAAUGUUGUAGCGGUGCUGUGCCUCUGUCUGGGGCUCCUGAUAGGGAGUCAAGAGGUAAGGCAGGCAUGGGUAUCCCUUGUCUCCCAGCAAAACUCCUGAGAAUUCUCCUGCAUAGACAGAAUGAAUAUAUAUAGAUAUAUAAUGUAGUUUUUUUUCUUCUUUUUUUUUAAGACUUUUUGCGAUUUAAGUGAUUACUAGCAUACCUCUUGCUAGUUGCUGGUAGAGAGAUGAGGCUCUAAAGAUUCUGGAGUCAUGCACAGAGCCUGGCCAUUUGGCCUCUACAUUUGCGAUGAUGCAAUCUGCAUCACUAAUCCUCUAAAAUAAAUUAAACCUGUAGGUCA
ensembl:lncRNA